AUUUGAUAAAAAGUUCAAACCAAUAUUUUGGCAUAAUGAUAUUGAAGAAAUAAUAUCAUUUAUGAAGAAAAUAAUCUCCCUUACCUCAGAAAGAAUAGUACUUCUGACUGGAAUACUGGAUAUAGUGCUAAAAGAACUUGCACCGUAUAGCAAUACUUGAAGUACUAAAAUACUCACAAAAAUACGCUCGAUAUAUAGAGAGAGAAAGAGAGA
rnacentral:lncRNA from 1 species